rnacentral:antisense_RNA from 1 species
GGAGACCAAAUAUAACACCAAUGCUAAGGAUCAAGUUGGUAAUUUCCUUACAUCCCACCCCCCCCCCCCCCCCACCCCCCCACAAAUACCCCAGGUAUAAUAAAUGUCCCCAAAAUAAAGAGCCUUAAUAGAAGAAAAGCACCUAUACCUGACAAAAUUAAGUGUGUACCCAAAAUUGUAGUCAUUUAUUUCUUUCUAUUUA